CCUGUGUCUCUUGUCUGGCAUUUGUGACUGCGGCCCGGGCAUGCUUCUGGCAUGUGCAUGGGCACAGGAAGUUUCUUCUUAGCCAGGGCUGCGUCGCCCUUAUUUUUUCCAGGGAAUGUUUUCCCAUUAGGCUCCAGGCUUUGGUUUGAUGUAAGUUAAAUGUCACCUCCACUUAUUCAUUCAACAAAUGUUGAUCAAGCUUCCUGAUAGUUCAGACCCUUGGAAUCAAAACUGGGAUGGGGCACAGGGGACUCUUAAUCCCACAGCCCUGGCCAGCUCUGGAUCUCUGACGUCUUACCGUGAAUAGCAGCAGAAGAGGCACCAGUUCCACUGAUUCUUGACCCAGUUACAGGCACAUUUCUGUCUUUUUCUGCCCAUUCUCUCCUUCCUCUAAUCUCUUCACUGCCCCCACUUCUUUCCUCCUAAUACCCAUCCACUGGGGGAAUGUACUCCCCUGUUUUCUAGCCAGUCAUAGUCCUCUGAUCAUACAGACAGCUACCCCUGGAAUCCAGAGCUUCCCCUUGCCCAUCUCUUUCCUACUGGCCAGUGUGGCAGCAGGGAGAAAGAAGAGCCCUCGCUCCCCCCUCACCCCCCACAAAGCCAUAUCCCUGCUGCCCCCACAACAUAGAAUCCCAACCCCCUGAUCAAGCCCAUCCUGAUCCUCCAGGACACACCCUUCCUCAUCCUCUCCCAGAGACAGCAGGUAGACUGGGUAGAAAAAGUAACAUCUCUCCCUCCCUUCUCCAGCUCCCCCAAGGCCCCUUCCCCAAGCCUGGCCCCUCACCAGAAGCACCCAGCAGCCCCCUCUAAUUGGUUUAAUUUAUUCGGCCAAACAACAUUUUGUUAUUGCAGAUAAUGCCGGCUUCCCCGCCCCACUGCCGUGGUUCACCACGGCAUGGCACGAGGCUCCAGGUAGUUGACAAUGAAAUAAAUUGAACUAAACGUUUAGAGGGGGAAAAGUGAUGAAAUAGAACAAUAGUCUAAUUUACAUGACAUUCUCCAUGAAGCUAUUUUCACUGACGCAAAUUAUUUUGCUUCAUUUCCUCCGAUGCUCUCACCACCACUUUGCCAGGGCUGCUGCCGUUUUCUCCUCCUUUCGCCUCCCUCCCCCUGUGUCUUUAUUCUCUGAGUUUAAUACUUG
rnacentral:lncRNA from 1 species